rnacentral:lncRNA from 1 species
CAUUUGGACUCGGGAUCCAUAGGAGACUGGAACCUGGACUGCAGGGACCCGACGCUCAGGAGGUUGACACUAACUCCUCAGGAAAAUCCCUGCCUCUUCUACUAUCGAGACUGAUGUAUGUUUCUGAUUCUGCUAACCAACUGGACACGUGUUUUUGAUGAUACAACAUGAAGCAGAAAUGGGAAGAUGAUCUGAAAUUACUUCUUAAAUCAGAUGACUGGGAUGAAUUCGGAAGAGAGCCAAGGAACAUGGGAUUUUGCUUUUCCUAAGAGUGAUCUCACUUAUGGUGGUUGAGGGGGUGAUCUGUACCCCUGCACAUGUGGAUGGAGUCUAAAGAGGAGCAGAGGACAAUUGUCCCAGCUAAUACCACCCCAAGUCUUUCUCCAUUAGUGAGUGACCUGUAAUGACCCUGCAGGAGGGGACAUGUCGUGGCUGGACUCAAAGCUGUGUUCUGCUGACCAGGCAUGGAAGACCCUGGCCUUGCCCUGGUUUUAAAAUAGAGCUAUAAGAGUUUACAAAGGGAGAAUGAUACUCCAGCUUUUUAUCAGUCUACAGGGGGUUCUGUCCACUCAAAGUCUUGGAUGGGGCAUACUUUAGUGUGAGCCUCUAAAAUUUUCCUUAUAGGGGAUCAAACUGUAUCAGUGUAUAUUUUAUUUGUCUUGUGUGCGUAAGAGAAAGCCCAGCAUAGUGUAAGUUCAGAUGCUUCUUAAUAGAAAGGCCCAAGGAAGGUGGAGCUUCAGUAUUUUACUGACAAUGUAUUGGAGAUGAUUGUAGGGUCCAGGAAGGACUUUACAGAGACUCAUAGAUUUUUCGGGCAGCCAUUCCUUAAAUUCACAAAGCAUGAAAAUUGCCUAGAUCUGGGAACCUAAGAAUAGAUGUAUUAGACCUCUUUGCAGGAAACAGAAACCACUCUAGGUGUGUUAAACAGAAAAGGCUUUAAUACAGGGAAUGGAAGACCUAAAGAAACAGGCUUUAAACUGGGCUUCUGGAAUCAUUCCUGUAAGAAUAUAGAACUGGACAUUGGGAGAGCUGUAACCUCUGAGGCUGCUCCUAGGGCUGACCUGAAAGCAAGAAGCUGCUGCUGCGUCUGCUUCUGAUGGAAAAGGAGCACUCAAAACUGCCAUCUGGGGAUUAGGAAGCCAGACCAAGACACCCAGGAACUGGAGGAUGGACCCUGGGCUGUCAUUGCUGGAAAGCCCUAUGUCUCUGUGCCUACGCUGUGGCAGCAGCGGUCAGGUACUGCAGGAAGAGGGCACCCACCUCACUACUGCCUUUUAAAGGUAUCUGUUUGGUGCAGGCUAACUUUUAUCCAGACCCCUGGAUGCACGGAAGCUUUGAAAAUGCCUUCUAACUCUUCCAUCUGACAGAGGAGAGGGCAAAUGGGCCUUUCCAGAGAGCCCAGCAGAGGAGGUGACACCAACAGGUGCUGGAUGGCUAAAGUCAAUUUGUGCAAAAUUAAUUCUUCAAGAAAUGUUUGAGUCAGAAACACAUCACACUUCGGGUGGGUAAAUUGUGGAAAGCAGCCAUUUCUCCCAGUUUCAACGUGUGACACUAGCUCCUUCUGUUUCAGCUCUAUGGUACUUUGGUUUGCGGCCUAGAACAAGCCUCAGUUGCCACAGUUGUGAAAGGAGACGUGACAAGCUUGAAGGGGUGAUUUCUCUUUUAGCUCACAGUUUGGUCUUGAGCUGGGCAUGUCUUAUAAGCACUUCUGUGAAAAGCAAUUCUUUGUUCUUGGGUUUGCCAAAUUUUAGGCACACUUCACUGGGUGAUUUUCUAAGAGCUCGUGGAGAUCAAAGUGAAUUAGGAGGAAGAAAAACUUGUGGAAAGGUUGGGGAAGCACUAGAACAGUGGGCUAUUGCACAAACAGCAGUGUCUGGUAUGAGGCUGGCAUCAUAGUUUCCAGGCUCUGUUCUGUUUGCUAUCUCCAGCAAGCCUCCUUUUGCAGAUGAGAAAACUGAGGUCGGGCAGCUUUGUGACUUUGGGGAUGAUGUUUUAGAGACCCCAUGACAAUGGUAGGGCUGGGAUACAGACGCAUGUGUCCCAGUGCUCUGGCCCCAUGACGUGUGAACUCCACCCACCAUCAUAAAGGGCACUGUCUAUUUGGAAGUCCCCCGGUCCCUAGCUGGGCUCCUGGGAUGAAGAGGAGGAUAGGGAGGGACAUGGCGGGUGUAAGCUAGGGUCCUGUUCUGCCUGCUACCCUGGGCUGCAGGGAAAUGCUGGUAAAUGUUUAACAACUGACACCCUUCCCCACCAAAAAUAAAAAGCCCCAAGUUAUAGC